UGCCAACGGAAGGAGCCGGCUCGGAGCGAGGACCGGAGGCUGUCUCCUUUCAAGAACGGGGACCUGCCCGGCGAGCGGCUCCCUGCGCGCGGGAUCCCCGCCCGCUGCGGGCGCCGAUCCAUUCCCGUUCCCGGCUCGCCGGGGCACCGCCGCGGGCACUGACAAGUGGAUGUAUUUGGUGAUUAUAAAGCAGUUCAGCUAGAACAGCAUUCUUCGGCUCUGCAUUUUGAUUAUCAAAAGCAGAAUGAACGUAAUAGUGGCUUUUCAAGGACAGUAAUUAGUUUCUUUUAAAGUAACUGACAACAUUAACCUACUUCAACCAUCCAAGUGUAAGCUAUAAUGCUUUUAAACAUGGAUUUUAUAUAGAAACUGUGUUGGAAUUAUAAAGUGAAGAUUUAGAGUAUAUGUUCCUUUUUGUCUGUGAAUUUCUACUUUUUCUCUCAUCUUUGAGAGAAGAUUUUAUGAAACAUAAUAUUGAGGGUAGUAAGAUGAUGGUGUAGAGCAGAAUACUUGAGACUAUCAUUGUCAGUAGGAAGAGACCUGUUUUCAAGUAAAGUGAAAAUAAUUUCUAGUUUAUUGUACUAAUAACAAAUUUAGAAAAAUGACAGGUAUUUCUCUAUAAUAUGUCAACUUUAGUCUGAAAUACAGUGAAACAGUAUUGUUACAUACUUUGAGAAGAAAUCUUAAUAGAUAUUUUGAGUGCUGUGUCUUAUUACGGUUAUUCUGUGUCAUUUUACAGACACUUAGAAAAGGUGCUUCUUACCUGCUUGAUAAAUAGUUCAUAAAAUAUUAAUAAAAUCAAUUAGUAUCUGUUAGGAAUUCCUGCUGUCAAGAAAGUGAAGGAGGGUGUAUUGCAACUGGGCUAUAAUGUUCUCUUUUGAUUAGUCUGAAAAUUACCCACUCUAUAAGCAAUGACUCUAUUGAUUUGGCAUAUCUUACAAAGAUAUUUUACUUACAAAUUGAAUCUUGGAAGGCUGUGGUUCCAGAGUCGGGGUUUUGGGGGCGAGAUGAGCUUAUGUUUUAUCCAACUGGCCCACAAAGUCCCGCUUUUGGUGGUCACUUUGUUCUGCAAAAGAAAACAGCACAUUAUGGCUCUUACAAUGGACAGUAAAGUUAGUAGUAAACUACUGCUGCACUUAGUAAAGGGCUAUUAUACACUUUAAAUAAAUAAUAAUGUUCUAUCUUUAAUGUUCUCUUCAGCAAUAAAAAAGUGGAUAGAAAAUAAAAUAAAUCUGAAACUUAAACAUAAAA